rnacentral:misc_RNA from 1 species
GAAAUGCGAUAAGUAAUGUGAAUUGCAGAAUUCAGUGAAUCAUCGAAUCUUUGAACGCACAUUGCGCCCGCCAGUAUUCUGGCGGGCAUGCCUGUCCGAGCGUCAUUUCAACCAUCAAGCCCCCGGGCUUGUGUUGGGGACCUGCGGCUGCCCGCAGGCCCUGAAAACCAGUGGCGGGCUCGCUGUCACACCGAGCGUAGUAGCAAUCACCUCGCUCAGGGCGUGCUGCGGGUUCCGGCCGUUAAACAGCCUCACAAAACCCAAGGUUGACCUCGGAUCAGGUAGGAAGACCCGCUGAACUUAAGC